GGAACAUAAAUUUAAGCUUCUAACUUAAUCUAUAGCAAAUAAUGUUAAUGUUCUU
rnacentral:tRNA from 1 species